rnacentral:rRNA from 1 species
CGGCAACAGCUCAAAUUUGAAAUCUGGCCUCUCGGGGUCCGAGUUGUAAUUUGUAGAGGAUGUUUUGGGUACCGCCCCGGUCUAAAUUUCUUGGAACAGGACAUCGCAGAGGGUGAGAAUCCCGUACGUGGGCGCCUGCCUUUGCCGUGUAAAGCUCCUUCGAC